AUGGCAUCCGCGGCUCCUCGGCACAAAGGAGACAGGGAGGCGAGGGAGAGAAGAAGGAAGAAAGGAGGGGUUGUGCAGCGACCUAGCGAGGAGCUCGCCGGAGCUGGGCGAAGGCGGACUGGCGCGGGAGACGGAGGGGUCCGGCGCGGCGGCGCGAAGUCCUUAAAUUUGUUGAAGCUAAAGAUGAAGAGGAACUCGUGGAAGAGGAAAAGAAAUGACAUGGUAGAAAUUCAUUCACACAUAUCAGGGUCAUAG
rnacentral:rRNA from 1 species